AAAGCGAAGAGCUCCUCCUGUUGGAGGAAAGCUUUCGUGGCGGAUGGGAACCCCCCGGCACGCGAGCAAUUUCGUUUUAUUAUUGCAUUUCGUGCUGCGUUGCUUCGCUUUGCGUUACACUGCGCUGUUUUAUUGUAGGCCGCCCAUUGGGAAGAUCCGUGCUGGCUCUCAGGGGAUUCAAAUCGGCCCUUAAUGCGGGGUAGCUCCUAACGUGGGCGCAGCUGAGCAGGGCACGGCGAUGGAGCAGCUUACGCUUAAUGCUGCUGCAGACCUCAGCCUUAAGGAACAGGUAGGCACGGCUUAGCUCAGCAUCGUUUCAAAUGCCAGGUUCAAAACAUGUUCAACUCCACCGAGUCGUGGGCAGCGGGGCUCUCCUUUGUCAGAGAUUCGUACUGAAGACAAACAUUGGUGGCAAUUGCGUCUAAAAAUACCUCCGAACCUGCUUCUUGGGGGCGAGCGCAGACGCCAGGCGCCUGACCAUGGCCGUAAAUUGCUGUCGGUGACACAGCUCGGGCGUAUUUAGGGGACCCAGCUUUGCCCUUUCCUUGACAGGACAGCGGCUCGCCCUGGGGUUCGUCUGCUCGUGUCACUGUCAUCUGUCAUGACACACUCGCGCGGGACCCAGCUGCUUACGCUGGGAAAGAAGAAAUGUGAAAAUAAUUGGUUGAUGCUUAUGUGGCUCCUUAGGCUACACCUGCACAGCCCUUUUCGGGGCUCUCUAUUUGAAGAAUCAUUAACCUUACAUAUACAUACUGCCCUGUAUCUUAGAUAAUGUGCCCUUCUGCCGUUAACCUUUACAUAAUGCAAGUGGGAAAAAAAGCCUCAUCACUACUGAGCGCAUCCGAGUGCAGCCUGGCUGCAGUUUAACCAUGAUACUGAAAGCGUCGUCAUGUUUUGGUAUACUCCUUUCUGAGGUGAGAUUGAUCCUCCUAGAUUCAACUCCGGGUUUUUAGCGAUGCAAAAAAGCAAACAAACAAACAAACAAAAAAACCCCGAUGCAGCAAAAAUGCGCGAGGGCUGGGCUGUGAACACAGAGCUGCUCUGUGCUGCUGAGAAGCAGCCGCCAAGCGGAGUGAGCACGGCGAGCACCAGCUCCGGCACACGCAGGGCUCUGGCUGCUGCCUGCGCUCAGCACGGCGCUGCCUCCAGCUUCUCCCAGCAGUGCUGGCAGGGCCUCAGCCUGGGCACGCUGCUUGGCCGUGUGCUGUGUUGUGCUUGCAGGGGGUAGCCUCCGGCAGCGUGCUACCAGCAUUAUGAGGGAUUUAAGGGGGGAGAGAGAAAAGCGUGGCUCCUAGCAUAAGAUUCACGCAGCAAAGGCCCUGUAAGGGAAAGCCCCGUAUCCCUGGAACACGAGUGCAGACAUAUUGUUAGGGGGUAGAAAGGCAGUAAUUAGGGCUGGGGACCGAUCGCACUUCGUUGCCAGAGGAGGUUAUUCUCACCAUGGAUACACAGCCAGCUCUGUUUUACUCUGUCAUUUUUGCUUUUGAGCCUGCUGGAAACCUUGGAGAAGUGACAAACGGGACUCAGAAGCAUGCAAGAAAAGUUACUUCUGGGCAAAACAUCAUCCAUCAGGAUACCACUUACAGUGUAUUUUGGUAGAAGUCCCCAAAUUACAGUUCUUCAAAAUUAAAAUAAAGAUCACGCAUAAUAUGGGCAGCUUGUUUCUGGAUUUCACAGAGCUCCCAUCUUUUGCUGCAAGCUGCUUCUAAUGUUGCAAUGAAAUCCAUAUUCUGCUGCUUCUA